GACGAACGCUGGCGGCGUGCUUAACACAUGCAAGUCGAACGGAAAGGCCCUGCUUUUGUGGGGUGCUCGAGUGGCGAACGGGUGAGUAACACGUGAGUAACCUGCCCUUGACUUUGGGAUAACUUCAGGAAACUGGGGCUAAUACCGGAUAGGAGCUCCUGCUGCAUGGUGGGGGUUGGAAAGUUUCGGCGGUUGGGGAUGGACUCGCGGCUUAUCAGCUUGUUGGUGGGGUAGUGGCUUACCAAGGCUUUGACGGGUAGCCGGCCUGAGAGGGUGACCGGCCACAUUGGGACUGAGAUACGGCCCAGACUCCUACGGGAGGCAGCAGUGGGGAAUAUUGCACAUUGGGCGGAAGCCUGAUGCAGCAACGCCGCGUGCGGGAUGACGGCCUUCGGGUUGUAAACCGCUUUCGCCUGUGACGAAGCGUGAGUGACGGUAAUGGGUAAAGAAGCACCGGCUAACUACGUGC
rnacentral:rRNA from 1 species